rnacentral:rRNA from 1 species
CCUACGGGGCGCAGCAGUGGGGAAUAUUGGGCAAUGGGCGCAAGCCUGACCCAGCAACGCCGCGUGAAGGAAGAAGGCUUUCGGGUUGUAAACUUCUUUUCUCAGGGACGAAGCAAGUGACGGUACCUGAGGAAUAAGCCACGGCUAACUACGUGCCAGCAGCCGCGGUAAUACGUAGGUGGCAAGCGUUAUCCGGAUUUACUGGGUGUAAAGGGAGCGCAGGCGGCGUGGCAAGUCAGAUGUGAAAACCCGGGGCCCAACCCCGGGAGUGCAUUUGAAACUGCCAUGCUGGAGUGCCGGAGCGG